AUUCCAAUCGAACCCGGAGAUAGCUGGUUCUCCCCGAAAUAGCUUUAGGGCUAGCCUCAAGCGUAGAGAAACGGAGGUAGAGCACUGAAUGUCCUAGGGGGUAUUGCACUUACCGAAGACUAUCAAACUCCGAAUGCCGUUUUCUUUUACUUGGGAGUCAGACUGUGGGUGAUAAGAUUCAUAGUCAAAAGGGCAACAGCCCAGAUCGUCAGCUAAGGUCCCUAAAUGUACGUUAAGUGGUAAAGGAUGUGGGAUUGCACAGACAACCAGGAUGUUGGCUUAGAAGCAGCCACUCAUUUAAAGAGUGCGUAAUAGCUCACUGGUCGAGUGAUCCUGCGCCGAAAAUUUCCGGGGCUAAAACGUACUACCGAAGCUACGGCAUCAUUUAUGAUGGGUAGGGGAGCUUCGUAUGCAGGCUGAAGCAUGACCGUAAGGACAUGUGGACUGUAUAGAAGUGAGAAUGUUGGCAUGAGUAGCGAGAUGUGGGUGAGAAUCCCACAGGCCGUAAACCCAAGGUUUCCAGGGGAAGGUUCGUCCGCCCUGGGUUAGUCAGGACCUAAGCCGAGGCCGAAAGGCGUAGGUGAUGGACAACAGGUUGAUAUUCCUGUACCGCCAAUAAGCGUUUGAGAGAUGGAGUGACACAGUAGGAUAAGCUAACCGUACUGUUGGUUAUGUACGGCUAAGCAUUGAGGCAGUCUAAAUAGGCAAAUCCGUUUAGACAAUGCUAGGAUGUGAUGGGGAAGCCCUUCGGGGCGAAGUAGCUGAUUUCACACUGUCAAGAAAAGCUUCUAUCGAGUUUAAAGGCGCCCGUACCGUAAACCGACACAGGUGGGUGAGGAGAGUAUCCUAAGGCCAGCGAGAGAACUAUUGUUAAGGAACUCGGCAAAAUGACCCCGUAACUUAGGGAGAAGGGGUGCCUGUCUAUGACAGGCCGCAGAGAAUAGGCCCAAGCGACUGUUUACCAAAAACACAGGUUUCUGCUAAGUCGCAAGACGAUGUAUAGGAGCUGACGCCUGCCCGGUGCUGGAAGGUUAAGGGGAUCUGUUAGAGCAAUCGAAGCAGUGAACUUAAGCCCCAGUAAACGGCGGCCGUAACUAUAACGGUCCUAAGGUAGCGAAAUUCCUUGUCGGGUAAGUUCCGACCCGCACGAAAGGCGUAACGAUUUGGGCACUGUCUCAACAAUAGACUCGGUGAAAUUGUAAUCCCGGUGAAGAUGCCGGGUACCUGCGACAGGACGGAAAGACCCCAUGGAGCUUUACUGUAGCUUGACGUUGGGUCUUGGUACUACAUGUACAGGAUAGGUGGGAGACUAUGAAGCAUGGACGCCAGUCUGUGUGGAGUCAUCCUUGGGAUACCACCCUUGUAGUACUGGGAUCCUAACCAUAGGCCUUGAAUCAGGUCUUGGAACACCGUCAGGUGGGCAGUUUGACUGGGGCGGUCGCCUCCUAAAAAGUAACGGAGGCGCUCAAAGGUUUCCUCAGCACGGUCGGAAAUCGUGCGAAGAGUGUAAAGGCAAAAGGAAGCUUGAUUGCAAGACAUACAGGUCGAGCAAGGACGAAAGUCGGACUUAGUGAUCCGGUGGUUCCGCAUGGAAGGGCCAUCGCUCAACGGAUAAAAGCUA
rnacentral:rRNA from 1 species